GCUUUUCCUCAGGUCCCGCGCGGCGCGCCCCUGUGUCGCAGGCGCCCUGCCGCUGCCCGCAGCUUUUGGGGGGUUCGGGGGCGGGGGAAGCAGGGCCGCAGAAGGCCCAAUCGGAGCCUUCUGACACCCGCCCCGGCCCGCCGCCCUCCCGGAGCUUCCGUCCCCGCCGCCUGGCUCCUUACUGACACGCGCGCCGCCCCCGGUCGCCCGUUUUCCCUGGGCUCCGGCCUCCUCUCGCUUCCAGCCCUGGCCUGAGCCCCAGCGCUCGGCCUCCGCAGAGCCGGCCCAACGAAGGAAGAAUGAAAAUAUGAACGUGACAUGAUGUGGGCUUGAGAGGCCGCCUUGUUCUUUGGAUUCACCCAGAAACCUGACUGAAAGGAAAGUUACUGCAACUGGGGAAAAGCACAGUUGGCUGGAGAAUUUGGUUUAAAAAUAAAUAAGUUUUAAAUUACGUAACUAACACGUGCUUGGUGUAGAAAAUUUGGAAAACAUAUGAAAGUACGGUAUAAAAAUCCUCGAUCCCACUGCCACAUAGAAC
rnacentral:lncRNA from 10 species